rnacentral:lncRNA from 1 species
UAAGCAUAUUUCAGCAACAAACAGGAGCAUAUUUCGGUCAUACAUUGUUCAAUAAGAUGUCCAAUUAUAGAAGUUCUGAAAUAGAAAUCAUGGUUCACACAUCACGAGCACAAAUGAUACGAAAUUGUCCAAUACAUAAGUUCUAAAAUAGAUUUUGUAGUUCACAAAUCAAUUUAAAGUGGUCAUCAUCAUGGCAUCUUUCACAUCUCCAAGCCUCCAAAAGACAAUCUUCAAAGCAUGCCAAUUCAGAGUGCCAAGUCCUAUAGAAUAUCAAAAUUCACUCAAGCUAAAUUAAAUAUGAAAAAUAUGUAGAUUGGUAUAUGAAAUGUGAAAGUACUUGUACUUCACCUGCAUUCCCUCUUGAAUGUCUUGAAGACAACUCCAAAAGCUUUGUCCAUCUUCAUUGUCAGCAUCUAUAAGAAUGAAAUAAGUAGUAAUGAACAUCUAAUGAAACAUAGCAACAAGAUAAUGAUAAACAAUAUGAUGAUAUGUAAAGAAAGACACACCUUUAUAUUUGUUUCUUAUCCAAUCUUGUGGACACAUCAAGGCCUCUAAGAUUUCAGGUGUAAGACGACUACGGUGGUCACUUAGAACUCUACCACUUGUGCUAAAUGCUGAUUCUGAGGCAACCAUGCUGACCGGAGUUGCAAAAACAUCACAUGCUAGCAGCCUCAAAGUUGGAUAGUGUGUUCCAGAAACUUUCCACUAAUCUAACACACUGAGCUUAUCUUUGGACAAUGGAACUAGCUCAUCUUCCAAGUAACGGUCUAGUUCAGAUUUCAUCCUAAAAGAUGCAGGCCUCUUUUGAGCAACACGUGCAUUGAAGAGUGACAUAAGGGUUGGAGCUUCCAAAGAAGAGAAUGAGGAAGAUGGUUGCACAUGAUCAUCAUCACUCUCAAGAUUGUACUCCUCCAACAAUGUGCAUAUCUUGGAAAUUAUUCCAUUAACAUGGUCCUCACAUUUUGGACUAGAAGGACUAAUACCAUGCAACAUAGCAAAGCAAACAAGUAACAUUUCAUUUUUGUACUAAGGAUCAAGAAGUGUAGCCAUUCCCAUUAGACCUUGAAUAUCAGUCCAAUACUUGUUAAAUUUCUCUUCCAUGCUAAAUGUCAUGGCUUCUAUCACCUCAUUACCGCAAGUUGACCAUUGCCUCAUAUUCAUUUUAAUUUCACAAAUCUUGGGAAAUAGAUGUUGGCAGUUACAUAAUCUGUCCCAGAAAACAUUUCAGUGAUUUCAAAGAACAGUCGCAACCUUUCUACAACAUCAAUAGCAAAUGCCCAUUCUUCCUUAGUAGGGAGACUCUUGUAUUGUUUCUCAACCUUCUUUAAUCGCUCAAAUACAACCUUAUAUGGUAGAGCCACACUAAGCAUUGUGAAAGUUGAAUUCCACCUAGUCUUACAAUCAAGUAUUAAUCUUCUUGUUAUUUUGACCUUUUGAAACUUAGCAAUUUCCUCAAGCUUCUCUAUUCGUUUUGUUGAGGCAAUCCAAAAAGCUACACUAUCUCUAAUCUUUUCAAUUGCUGGUUUCAUAGCAUCUAGCCAUCUUUGACAAUUAAAUUCAGAAUGUAGGCACAACAACGCAUGUGAGUCAAGGUACCUUGCAACAUGAGUUUGUCCUUCCCUAUCCUCUUCACCAACAAGUCAAUUGUCUUGUCAUUUGAAGAACAAUUGUCAACAGUCACCAUUGAUAGCUUCUCAUCAAGAUUCCAAGAUAUCAAUGAUUCAUGAAGUUCUUCGGCUAUAACUUCAACGGUGUGAGGAGCUGGCACAUAAAUGAACCUACAUGUAGCGACCCGACCCAAAUGGAUCGAAGUCUCUGUGGUUAAGUAUCAUCCCUGGAUCGGUAUGCUGACACACACAAUACUCGAGGAAUUAUAACAGAGUUCAAUCACACACUUUAUUACAUCGAGAUCCUCAAAAGAGUAUUUAUUACAAUAAUAUGGCCAAAGGCCGUCUAAAAUAAAAUAACUGCGGAUGCAUCGAAGGUAAAUGAGUCCAUCCAACUCCACGCCAAACUGAGUGCAGAACAACGACCUAUCGCACCUUCAAUCCUCGUCGAAAAAGUCUGCAACAUGAGACGUUGCAGCCGUGUAGGUCAGCGCAUGGAAUAUUCUGGUAAUUUCACACCAUAGAAUAAUAAUGAAAAAAAGAGUCUAUCUCUAUAUGAAAAUUUAGCUAGUGGAGCUUGUAAGUUUAAUUUUUGCAUAAAGCCAAUUUUACCCUACAACAAAGGAAUACAUUUUUAUUUACUACUAAAUUAAAAUGCCAUUAUUGAGAAGGUUCCUCCAACUCAAUCCCAAAAUUCCUAAGUUAUUAGUAACCCAAUAAUUUCAUUAAAUAGAGUGAUGAGAUCAACCAAUAAUUCACUUCUAGAUACUCAGGUUGUCCAUAACCGGGGACACGGCUAAUCAUGAUUAGUUUGUACAUUCUGCAGAGGUUUACGCACUUUUCCCCACAAGACUCGACCACCUCCAUGAUCGGAAGAUCGAGACAUAGCCUUUCUGAAGUAUUCCCUCCAAACCCUGGGUAGACCGGUACACUACUUUCCCCUACAUCAGCUAGUCUACCACGGAAAGAGGUCACACAACUUACUCAACUAUGCCAGAGCCCAUAAUGGCUUGUGGCUGCACACGGAAGUUUCUAGGCAUGAAAUAUCUUAUGAUCCCUUUGAACCUAGGUGGAGGACCUAGGGUAAUCACACGGGUACUCCGGGAUUCCCCUUGGGCAAGCACUGGUUACUCCAGGUGCCCCAAACAAUCCACCCAGAUGUGUAUUAAAGUUGCCACCUUAGGUUAUCCCAAAAUUAUUAACUCUCACAACUUGCAUGGAUCACACAGACCAAUCCCCGUCUACGAGCAUGGCUAAGCAAUAUAUGAUAUAAGAAAAUUCCCGGGGUGAUCAAAGGUCAUAGGUUCCUACCACAUGAACUACUAGCAUAACCACAUGUUCCCAAUCCUACUCAUGCAAUCUUUGAUGGUUAAACUAAUGCAUAGUAAACAGAACAGGGUAUUGAAAAUUAUGAUCAAAGUGUGAACUUGCCUUGCUGACGACCGUUGAACUCUAAUUCGUAGUAGCAAGCCUCGCACUCCGGAUGAUCUAACGAAGCAUGUAAUGACACUCAUAAGCAAUCAAGCAAAAAGAAUCAAAAAGAAAACGAAUAAAAGACUUCAAAAAACUCCAAAACAUCCCAAUAAAGUUUCUGUACAAAACGUAAUUUUUACAGAAACAAAAAUAAAUGGUUUUGGUUUUUAACAAAAAUUACGUUCCACAAGCUUUGAUUUGCAAAAAGAAUCACCUAAAACGGAGUUACGAAACUCGAUGUACGGCCUAACGAAGUUUGAAUUCAGAUCUGUUUGAAUUCAAAUUUUUAAAAUUUUCAAAAAUAUUGUUCAUUUGGUUCUCUGGAUAGAUGGGAUUUCUAUGAACUAGUAGGAAAAAGAAUCAACUAAAUCGGAUCUAUAGACUAAAAGAUAUACGAGAAAGAAGAUUUGGUAAAGAAUCUGAAUUUGGAAAAAUUCCUAAAAAAGAGAAAAAAAAUUGGCCAGGGACAAGUGGCGCUCUGUGAUUCGCUGGCUGGGUGCUCACUGGACUUGUCGCCGGAGACGAGGAAGAAGGUGGAUUUGGUGUGCUUCGGCGAAGGACGCAUGCAAAACGAUGUAGAGGACGAUGAGUUUAACCACUUGCACAAGCUGUGGUUGUAGAUUGCUUCCUGUACGCACGGUGAGAGGUCGCCGGAAUUCACGAACUCUGGCGAGCAAUUGGCGAGGUUAGGGAGGAGGAAAAACUCCAAAAAGAGAGGGAUUCAAACGAGGGGUGAGAGGCUGGCUCCAAGGGGUGCUUUAUAUAGGGCUUGGGGAGGUCUGGAGAUGAGCUGAGCGUUGCCGACUUUAUGAUGUUAAUGGUGGCUGUUACUUGGGAUUCUAAUGGCCAUUAGAGGGGGAAUUAAGGCGCACCAGUGAGGCCAUGUUCGGUUAAUCCCCUCACCACAGGGAUUGACGGGGAUCGGGGUGGUUUUAGGGGAAUUUUGACUUGCAAGGGAUUGAAUCCCUUUCAAACCUCUCCAUUCCCUGCCUAACCGAACAAGGCCUAAAGGGGAAAAGGUAGAGGGAGGCGAGGCGAACCAUUCAGAGUGGUUUUGGAGCGAGGGAGAGGAGGGGUGGGGUGGGGCGCUAGGCUGGGGUGCUGCCUGCGUGCGUGCGUACUUUGAGAGGAAGAAGAAGAUAGCGCCUGGGCAUGGGCCUACUGGGCUGCAUUUUUUAAACGUUUUUUUACAGCAGCAUUAAAGCACCAAAAUACAAAUGAAAAUAAGUCUAAGAAUUCCCAGAAAACUCACAUAGUAAUAUGGUCUUAUAUAUGACCUUGUGAACUUUUAUCCGGCCUAAAACGCACGUUUUCAAAAAUAAACUCUUUACUAUGCUAAUAAAAUAAAUUGCAAAUAAAACUCAACAAAUAUAUUUUGGUUCCAAAUUCAAUUUCCAAUAUUUUAUUUUGUGAUUUUUAAGAAGUCAUUUUAUCUUCUCUCUUUAUUUUAUUUUUGAUAUGAAGGAAAUGAAUUUUUUUUGGUGAAACCAAAUUUGAUCCAAACUGUCAACUUCGAAAAAAAUUCAAAAUUGGUUUUCUUGGGAAACUUCCAACUCUCUCUUUUGAUCCUUGAGUUUCUCAAAGUUCCUUGGAUCAAAAAUCAAAUAAAACAAAUCGGGCAAAAAUGCAUAAAUCAUGGAUGCAUAUGAAUGAUCUAUUAUAAACAUCCAAAUUGAAAAUUGUGAUGUUACAAACCUACCCCGCUUAAGAUGAAUAUCGCCCUCGAGAUUCGGGUUGGCUAGCAAAAAGGUGUGGGUGGUCCUGUCAGAGAUCUUCUUCUCGUUCCCAGGUGGCUUCUUCUUCGUCAUGAUGACUCCAUUGAACCUUGCAGAACUUGAUGACCUUGCUGCGGGUAACCCUGCUUGCAGUCUCGAGAAUCUUGAUGGGCUUCUCCUCAUAGGUCACAUCACUAUCCAAUUGUAUGGCCUCCAGUGGCACUGUAUCUCUUAGAGGAAUAUCGGCCAUCUCUGCUUGGCACUUCUUCAACUGGGAAACGUGAAACACAUCAUGAACUCCUGACAAGGCUUCGGGUAAUUCCAUCUUGUAGGAAACUUCACCCAUGCGUUCUAAAACUCUGUACGGCCCCACAAAUCGUGGUGCCAACUUUCCUUUGACUCCAAAUCGUUUUACUCCUCGAAGUGGAGACACACGAAGAUAUGCUCUAUCUCUGACUUCAUAGGUUACCUCCUUGCGUUUAGUAUCAGCAUAACUCUUCUGUCUGGAUUGGGCUAUUUUGAGUCUGUCGCGGAUCAAUUUGACUUUCUCCUCUGAAUCUCUAAAUAAAUCUGGUCCGAAUAAUUUACGGUCUCCAACUUCAUCCCACAUCAAUGGUGUCCUACACCUCCUUCCGUACAAAGCUUCAAAAGGGGCCAUCUUCAGACUAGCUGGAUAGCUAUUGUUAUAUGAGAAUUCUGCGUAUGGAAAAUUGUCAUCCCAACUAGAUCCAUAAUCUAGCGCACAAGCUCUCAACAUGUCCUCCAGAAUCUGAUUGACUCUCUCGGUCUGCCCAUCUGUGUGCGGAUGAAAAGUUGUACUGAACUCUAGCCUGGUACCCAAAGUUUUGUGUAAUUGAUGCCAAAACUUUGAGGUAAAUUGUGUUCCUCUAUCUAAUACGAUGGUCCUCGGAACUCCAUGCAGACAUACGAUCCUGGUCAUGUAUAUCUUGGCCAACUUAGCACUUGUAUAUGUGGUUUUCACGGGGAUGAAGUGAGCUACCUUGGUCAAGCGAUCAACCACCACCCAAAUAGAAUCAUAGCCUGAUCGGGUCCUGGGUAAUCCUGUAAUGAAUUCCAUGCUAAGCUUGUCCCACUUCCAAUCUGGUAUUGGCAAGGGCUGAAGUAAUCCUGCUGGUUUCUGGUGCUUUGCCUUAACCCUCUUACAUACGUCACAUACUGCAACAUACUCGGCAAUAUCAUUCUUCAUACCUGUCCACCAGAAACUUUCCUUCAACUCCAACUACAUCUUGGUGUUGCCUGGGUGUAUCGAGUAAGGCGAAUCAUGAGCCUCCUAAAGAAUCAACUUCCUGAUCUCUGGGUCAUUGGGUACAUAAAUACGCUUCUCAAACCAUAAGGUUCUGUGUUCAUCCUCGUGAAAUCCUUCUGCCUUUCCUUGGUUCAUCCUUCCCUUUAUCUCCGCAAUACCUUUGUCUAACUUCUGGGCUUCUCGGAUCUUUCCCAACAAAGUGUUUUGAAUUUCCAUUGCAGCAACAAAACCUCGUGGUACUAUCUCCAAUCAGAGAUCUAUGAGAUCAUCAAUUAACUCCUAAGGUAAUCCUCCUGCUGUGAGGGUAUUGACAUAACUCUUGCGGCUCAAUGCAUCUGCCACAACAUUGGCCUUUCGUGGGUGAUAGUGCAAUUUCAUGUCAUAAUCCUUUAUGAGCUCCAACCACCUUCUCUGCCUGAGGUUCAACUCCUUCUGCCUGAAGAUGUAUUUCAAACCCUUAUGAUCCGUGUAAACAUCACAGCGAUUUCCGAUAAGAAAAUGUCUCCAGGUCUUGAGUGCGUGCACUACAGCUGCUAACUCCAAAUCAUGUGUGGCAUAAUUCCGCUCAUGAGGUCGAAGCUAAUGUGAGGCAUAUGAAACAACUCUUCCUUCUUGCAUAAGAAUACCUCCAAGUUCCUGACGAGAAGCGUUGCAAUAUACUUGGAAAUCCUUGCGUAUAUUCAGAAGAAUUAGCACUGGGGCUGUGACCAAACGUUUCUUCAGCUCCUGGAAGCUGGCCUCACAUUUGUCGGUCCAAACAAACUUAGUGUCUUUCUUUAAUAACUCUGUCAUGGGCUUUGCGAUCUUAUAGAAAUUCUCAAUAAACCUCCGAUAAUAUCCCGCGAGCCCAAGAAAACUUCGAAUCUCUCCGACUGAGGUGGGUGCCUUCCAUUCGGUGACGGCUUCAAUUGGAGGGGUUUACUGCUAUUCCUUCUCCUUGUUGGAAAUAUGCCCAAGAGGUAAUAAUAAAUUAGUUAUUAUUACUAUAUUUCCUUGUUCAUGAUAAUCGUUCAUUAUCCAUGCUAUAAUUGUAUUGAUAGGAAACUCAGAUACAUGUGUGGAUACAUAGAUAACACCAUGUCCCUAGUAAGCCUCUAAUUGACUAGCUCAUUGAUCAAUAGAUGGUUACGGUUUCCUGACCAUGGACAUUGGAUGUCGUUGAUAACGGGAUCACAUCAUUAGGAGAAUGAUGUGAUGGAUAAGACCCAAUCCUAAGCCUAGCACAAAGAUCGUAGUUCGUAUGCUAAAGCUUUUCUAAUGUCAAGUAUCAUUUCCUUAGACCAUGAGAUUGUGCAACUCCAGGAUACCGUAGUAAUGCUUUGGGUGUACCAAACAUCACAACGUAACUAGGUGGCUAUAAAGGUGCACUACAGGUAUCUCUGAAAGUGUCUUUUGGGUUGGCACGAAUCGAGACUGGGAUUUGUCACUCCGGUAAACGGAGAGGUAUCUCUGGGCCCACUCGGUAGGACAUCAUCAUAAUGUGCACACUGUGACCAAGGGGUUGAUCAUGGGAUGAUGUGUUACUGAACGAGUAAAGAGACUAGCCGGUAACGAGAUUGAACAAGGUAUCGACAUACUGACGAUCGAAUCUCGGGUAAGUAUAAUACCGCUGGACAAAGGGAAUUGUAUACGGGAUCGAUUGAGUCCUUGACAUCGUGGUUCAUCCGAUGAGAUCAUCGUGGAACAUGUGGGAGCCAACAUGGGUAUCCAGAUCCCGUUGCUGGUUAUUGACCGGAGAACGUCUCGGUCAUGUCUACAUGUCUCCCGAACCCAUAGUGUCUACACACUUAAGGUUCGAUGACGCUAGGGUUAUAAAGGAAGUUUGUAUGUGGUUACCGAAUGUUGUUCGGAGUCCCGGAUGAGAUCCCGGAUGUCACGAGGAGUUCCGGAAUGGUCCGGAGGUAAAGAUUUAUAUAUAGGAAGUCCUGUUUUGGUCACCGGAAAAGUUUUGGAUUUUAUCGGUAACGUACCGGGACCACCGGGAGGGUCCCGGGGGUCCACCAAGUGGGGCCACCGGCCCCGGAGGGCUGCAUGGGCCAAGUGUGGGAGGGUACCAGCCCCAGGUGGGUUGGUUCACCCCCACACAAGGGCCCAAGGCGCCUAGGGUUUGGGGAGGGGGUGCUUCCACCUAAACUUGGGGGGCAAGUUUCCCCUCUCCCCUCCCUUGGCCGCCACCCUAGAUGGGUUUGGGCUGGACGCCGCCCCUAGGGGUGGAACCCUAGGGUGGGGCACAGCCCCCCCUCUCCCCCUAUAUAUACUUGAGGGUCUAGGGGCUGCGAACACACGAGAACCUCUCCCUUUUGGCGUAGCCUACCUCUCUUACCCAUCCUCUCCCGCGGUGCUUGGCGAAGCCCUGCAGGAUAGCCACGCUCCUCCAUCACCACCACGUUGGUGUGCUGCUGCUGGAUGGAGUCUUCCUCAACCUCUCCAUCUCACCUUGCUAGAUCAAGGCAUGGGAGUCGUCACCGGGCUGUACGUGUGUUGAACGCGGAGGUGCCGUCCGUUCGGCACUAGGAUCUCCGGUGAUUUGGAUCACGACGAGUACGACUCCUUCAACCCCGUUCUCUUGAACGCUUCCGCUUAGCGAUCUACAAGGGUAUGUAGAUGCACUCUCCUUCCCCUCGUUGUUGGUUUCUCCAUAUAUAGAUCUUGGUGACACAUAGGAAAAUUUUGAAUUUCUGCUACGUUCCCCAACAGUGGCAUCAUGAGCUAGGUCUAUUUCGUAGAUUCUUUGCACGAGUAGAACACAAAGUAGUUGUGGGCGUUGAUGUUGUUCAAUAUGCUUACCGUUACUAGUCCAAUCUUGAUUCGGCGGCAUCGUGGGAUGAAGUGGCCCGGACCGACCUUACACGUACUCUUACGUGAGACAGGUUCCACCGAUUGACAUGCACUUGUUGCAUAAGGUGGCUAGCGGGUGCCCGUCUCUCCCACUUUAGUCGGAUCAGAUUCGAUGAAAAGGGUCCUUAUGAAGGGUAAAUAGCAAUUGACAUAUCACGUUGUGGUUUUUGCGUAGGUAAGAAAUGUUCUUGCUAGAAACCCAUAGCAGCCACGUAAAACAUGCGAACAACAAUUGGAGGACGUCUAACUUGUUUUUGCAGGGUAUGCUAUGUGAUGUGAUAUGGCCAAGAAGAAUGUGAUAAAUGAUAUGUGAUGUAUGAGAUUGAUCAUGUUCUUGUAAUAGGAAUCACGACUUGCAUGUCGAUGAGUAUGACAACCGGCAGGAGCCAUAGGAGUUGUCUUUAUUUAUUGUAUGACCUGCGUGUCAUUGAACAACGCCAUGUAAUUACUUUACUUUAUUGCUAACCGGUAGCCAUAGUAGUAGAAGUAAUAAGUUGGCGAGACAACUUCAUGGAGACACGAUGAUGGAGAUCAUGAUGAUGGAGAUCAUGGUGUCAUGCCGGUGACGAUGAUGAUCAUGGAGCCCCGAAGAUGGAGAUCAAAAGGAGCAAUAUGAUAUUGGCCAUAUCAUGUCACUAUUUGAUUGCAUGUGAUGUUUAUCAUGUUUAUGCAUCUUAUUUGCUUAGAACGACGGUAGUAAAUAAGAUGAUCCCUCAUUAAAAUUUCAAGAAAGUGUUCCCCCUAACUGUGCACCAUUGCGAAAGUUCGUCGUUUCGAAGCACCACGUGAUGAUCGGGUGUGAUAGAUUCUUACGUUCACAUACAACGGGUGUAAGCCAAAUUUACACACGCGAAACACUUAGGUUGACUUGACGAUCCUAGCAUGUACAGACAUGGCCUCGGAACACAAGAGACCGAAAGGUCGAGCAUGAGUCGUAUAGUAGAUACAAUCAACAUGAAGAUGUUCACCGAUGAUGACUAGUCCGUCUCACGUGAUGAUCGGACACGGCCUAGUUGACUCGGAUCAUGUAAUCACUUAGAUGACUAGAGGGAUGUCUAUCUGAGUGGGAGUUCAUAAGAUGAACUUAAUUAUCCUGGGCAUAGUCAAAAGAUCAUUGCAAAUUAUGUCGUAAGCUCGCGCUUUAGUUCCACUGUUUAGAUAUGUUCCUAGAGAAAAUAUAGUUGAAAGUUGACAGUAGCGAUUAUGCGGAUAGUAGAAAGCUUAUGUCCUUAAUGCACCGCUCAGUGUGCUGAACCCCAAACUUCGUUUGUGGAUGUUGCGAACAUCGGACAUACACGUUUUGAUAACUACGUGAUAGUUCAGUUAAACGGUUUAAAGUUGAGGCACCAAAGACGUUUUCGAAACGUCGCGGAACAUAUGAGAUGUUUUCGAGGGCUGAAAUUGGGAUUUUAGGCUCGUGCCCACGUCAAGAGGUAUGAGACCUCCGACAAUGUUCUUAGCCUGCAAACUAAGGGAGAAAAGCUUAAUCGUUGAGCUUGUGCUUAGAUUGUCUGAGUGCAACAAUCACUUGAAUCGAGUGGGAGUUGAUCUUUCAGAUGAGAUAGUGAUGUUUCUCCAAAGUCAUUGCCACCAAGAUGCUAGAGCUUCGUGAUGAACUAUAACAUAUCAGGGAUAGAUACGAUGAUCCUUGAGGUAUUCACGAUGUUUGACACUGCGAAAGUAGGAAUCAAGAAGAAGCAUCAAUUGUUGAUGGUUGGUGAAACCACUAGUUUCAAGAAGGGCAAGGGCAAGAAGGGAUACUUCAUGAAACGGCAAAUCAGCUGCUGCUCCAGUGAAGAAACCCAAGGUUGAACCCAAACCCGAGACUAAGUGCUUCUGUGAUAAGGGGAAUAGUCACUAGAGCGGAAUUACCCUAGAUACUUGGUAGAUGAGAAGGCUGGCAAGGUCGAUAGAAGUAUAUUGGAUAUACAUUAUGUUAAUGUGUACUUUACUAGUACUCCUAGUAGCACCAGGGUAUUAGAUACCGGUUCGGUUGCUAAGUGUUAGUAACUCGAAAUAAAAGAGCUACGGAAUAAACGGAGACUAGCUAAAGGUGAGUUGACGAUAUGUGUUGGAAGUAUUUCCAAGUUUGAUGUGAUCAAACAUCGCACACUCCCUCUACCAUCAAGAUUAGUAUUAAACCUGAAUAAUUGUCAUUUGGUGUUUGCGUUGAGCAUAGACAUGAUUGGAUUAUUUCUAUCGCAAUAUGGUUAUUCAUUUAAGGAGAAUAAUGGUUACUCUGUUUAUUUGAAUAAUACCUUCAAUGGUCUUGCACCUGAAACGAAUGGUUUAUUGAAUCUCGAUCGUAGUGAUACACAUUUUCAUGCCAAAAGAUAUAAGAUAGUAAUGAUAGUACCACUUACUUAUGGCACUGCCAUGUAAGUCAUAUUGGUAUAAAAUGCAUGAAGAAGCUCCAUGUUGAUGGAUCUUUGGACUCACUCGUUUUGUAAAGUUUGAGACAUGCGAACCACGUCUAUUGGUGUAUACGCAUGAAGAAACUCCAUGCAGAUGGAUCGUUUGGACUCACUUGAUUUUGAAUCACUUGAGACAUGCAACUCAUACCACAUGGGCAAGAUGACUGAAAGCCUCGUUUUUCAGUAAAAUGGAACAAGAAAGCAACUUGUUGGAAGUAAUACAUUUUGAUGUGUGCAGUCCAAUGAGUGCUGAGGCACGCAGUGGAUAUCAUUAUGUUCUUACUUCACAGAUGAUUUGAGUAUAUUUACUUGAUGAAACACAAGUCUGAAUUAUUGAAUGGUUCAAGUAAUUUCAGAGUGAAGUUGAAGAUCAUCGUGACAAGAGGAUAAAAUUUCUAUGAUAUGAUCAUAGAGAUGAGUAUCUGAGUUAUGAGCUUUGGCACGCAAUUAAGACAUUGUGGAAAUUGUUUCACAAUUAAUACCGCCUGGAACACCAUAGUGUGAUGGUGUGUCCGAACAUCAUAGUUGCAUCCUAUUGGAUAUGGUGCGUAUCAUGAUGUCUCUUAUCGAAUUACCACUAUCGUUCAUGGGUUAGGCAUUAGAGACAACCGCACUCACUUUAAUGGGGCACCACGUAAUUCCGUUGAGACGACACCGUUUGAACUGUGGUUUGGAGAAACCUAAGUUGUCGUUUCUUAAAAGUUUGGGGCUGCGAGGCUUAUGUGAAAAAGUUUCAGGUUGAUAAGCUCGAACCCAAAGCGGAUAAAAUGCAUCUUCAUAGGACACCCAAAAUAGUUGGAUAUACCUCCUAAUUCAGAUCCGAAAGCAAUAUGGAUUGUUUCUUGAAUCGGGUCCUUUCUCGAGGAAAAGUUUGUCUCGGAAAGUUGAGUGGGAGGAUGGUGGAGACUUGAUAUGGUUAUUGAACCAUCACUACAACUAGUGUGUAGCAGGGCACAGGAAGUUGUUCCUGUGGCACCUACACCAAUUGAAGUAGAAGCUUAUGAUAGUGAUCAUGAAACUUCGGAUCAAGUCACUACCGUACCUCGUAGGGUGGUACAGUAAUCCUGUCUUGAAGGUCAUGUUGCUAGACAACAAUGAACCUACGAGCUAUGGAGAAGCGAUGGUGGGCCCAAAUUCCGACAAAUAGUUAGAAGCCAUGAAAUCCGAGAUAGGAUCCAUGUAUCAGAACAAAGCAUGGACUUUGGUGGACUUUCCCGAUGAUCGGCAAGCUAUUGAGAUAAAUGGAUUUUUAAGAAGAAGACGGACGUGGACGAUAAUGUCAUCGUCUAUGAAGCUCGACUUGUGGCAAAGAGUUUUUCACAAGUUGACUACGAUGAGAUUUUCUCAUCCGUAGCGAUGCUUAAGUCCGUCGGAAUCAUGUUAGCAUUAGCUGCAUUUAUGAAAUCUAGCAGAUGGAUGUCAAAAUGUGUUUCCUUAACAGUUUCCGUACGGAAAGGUUGUAUGAGAUACAAUCAGAAAGGUUUUGUCGAUCCUAAGGAUGCUAAAAGGUAUGCUAGCUCCAGUGAUCCUUCCAUGGACUGGAGUAAGCAUCUCGGAGUUGGAAUAUACUCUUUGAUAAGAUGAUCAAAGAUUUUGGGUUUAUACAAAGUUUAUGAGAAACUUGUAUUUCCAAAGAAGUGAGUGGGAGCACUAUAGAAUUUUUGAUGAGUAUAUGUUGUUGACAUAUUGUUGAUGAGAAAUGAUGUAGAAUUUCUGGAAAGCAUAUAUGGUUAUUUGAAAAGUGUUUUUCAAGUGAAAACCUGUAUUAAGCUACUUGAACAUUGAGCAUCAAGAUCUAUAGGGACAGAUCAAAACCGCUUAAUGGUACUUUCAAAUGAGCAUAUACCUUGACAUGAUCUUGAAGGUGUUCAAGAUGGAUCAGUCAAAGAAGGAGUUCUUGCCUGAGAUGUAAGGUAUGAAGUUAAGACUUAAAGCUCGACCACGGCAGAAAAGAGAGAAAGGAUGAAGGUCGUCCCCUAUGCCUUAGACGUAGGCUCUACAGUAUGCUAUGCUGUGUACCGCACCGGAAGUGUGCCUUACCAUGAGUCAGUCAAGGGGUACAAGAAUGAUCCAGGAAUGGAUCAUUGGACAGCAGUCAAAAUUGUCCUUGGAGUAAAUAAGGACAUGUUUCUCGAUUAUGGAGGUGAUAAAGAGUUCGGCGUAAAGGGUUACGUCGGUGCAAGCUUUAACACCUAUCCGAGUGACUCUGAGUAGCAAACCGGAUACGUAUAGUGGAGCGACCAUUUGGAAUAGCUCCAAGUGGAGCGUGGAAGCAGCAUCUACAAUAUGACCUAGAGAUUUGCAAAGUACAUACGGAUCUGAAUGUUGCAGACCCGUUGAAUAAAACCUCUCUUACAAGCAAAACAUGAUCAAACCCCAGAACUCAUUGAGUCUUAAUCACAUGAUGAUGUGAACUAGUAAACUCUUGGGUGUUGGUCACAUGACGAUGUGACCUGUGAGUGUUAAUCACAUGGCGAUGUGAACUAUAUUAUUGACUCUAGUGCAAGUGGGAGACUGUUGGAAAUAUGCCGAAGAGGCAAUAAUAAAUUAGUUAUUAUUACUAUAUUUCCUUGUUCAUGAUAAUCGUUUAUUAUCCAUGCUAUAAUUGUAUUGAUAGGAAACUCAGAUACAUGUGUGGAUACAUAGACAACACCAUGUCCCUAGUAAGCCUCUAUUUGACUAGCUCGUUGAUCAAUAGAUGGUUACGGUUUCCUGACCAUGGACAUUGGAUGUCGUUGAUAAUGGGAUCACAUCAUUAGGAGAAUGAUGUGAUGGAUAAGACCCAAUCCUAAGCCUAGCACAAAGAUCGUAGUUCGUAUGCUAAAGCUUUUCUAAUGUCAAGUAUCAUUUCCUUAGACCAUGAGAUUGUGCAACUCCAGGAUACCGUAGUAAUGCUUUGGGUGUACCAAACGUCACAACGUAACUAGGUGGCUAUAAAGGUGCACUACAGGUAUCUCUGAAAGUGUCUUUUGGGUUGGCACGAAUCGAGACUGGGAUUUGUCACUCCGGUAAACGGAGAGGUAUCUCUGGGCCCACUCGGUAGGACAUCAUCAUAAUGUGCACAUUGUGACCAAGGGGUUGAUCACGGGAUGAUGUGUUACUGAACGAGUAAAGAGACUAGCCGGUAACGAGAUUGAACAAGGUAUCGGCAUACCGACGAUCGAAUCUCGGGCAUGUAUAAUACCGCUGGACAAAGGGAAUUGUAUACGGGAUCGAUUGAGUCCUUGACAUCGUGGUUCAUCCGAUGAGAUCAUCGUGGAACAUGUGGGAGCCAACAUGGGUAUCCAGAUCCCGCUGCUGGUUAUUGACCGGAGAACGUCUCGGUCAUGUCUACAUGUCUCCCGAACCCGUAGGGUCUACACACUUAAGGUUCGAUGACGCUAGGGUUAUAAAGGAAGUUUGUAUGUGGUUACCGAAUGUUGUUCGGAGUCCCGGAUGAGAUCUCGGACGUCACGAGGAGUUCCGGAAUGGUCCGGAGGUAAAGAUUUAUAUAUAGGAAGUCCUGUUUUGGUCACCGGAAAAGUUUCGGAUUUUAUCGGUAACGUACCGGGACCAUCGGGAGGGUCCCGGGGGUCCACCAAGUGGGGCCACCGGCCCCGGAGGGCUGCAUGGGCCAAGUGUGGGAGGGGACCAGCCCCAGGUGGGCUGGUGCGCCCCCCCCACAAGGGCCCAAGGCGCCUAGGGUUUGGGGAGGGGGUGCUUCCACCUAAACUUGGGGGGCAAGUUUCCCCUCUCCCCUCCCUUGGCCGCCACCCUAGAUGGGUUUGGGCUGGCCGCCGCCCCUAGGGGUGGAACCCUAGGUGGGGGAGCAGCCCCCCCUCUCCCCCUAUAUAUACUUGAGGGUCUAGGGGCUGCCAACACACGAGAACCUCUCCCUUUUGGCACAGCCCUACCUCUCUUACUCAUCCUCUCCCGCGGUGCUUGGCGAAGCCCUGCAGGAUAGCCACGCUCCUCCAUCAGCACCACGCCGUUGUGCUGCUGCUGGAUGGAGUCUUCCUCAACCUCUCCAUCUUACCUUGCUGGAUCACGACAUGGGAGACGUCACCGGGCUGUACAUGUGUUGAACGCGGAGGUGCCGUCCGUUCGGCACUAGGAUCUCUGGUGAUUUGGAUCAUGACAAGUACGACUCCUUCAACCCCGUUCUCUUGAACGCUUCCUCUUAGCGAUCUACAAGGGUAUGUAGAUGCACUCUCCUUCCCCUCGUUGCUGGUUUCUCCAUAGAUAGAUCUUGGUGACACGUAGGAAAAUUUUGAAUUUCUGCUACGUUCCCCAACACUCUUAAUAUAACAUGUCCAAGAAAUCCGACUUCCUUCAACCAGAAUUCGUACUUGCUGAACUUUUGCAUAUAACUGAUGUUCCCUGAGUUUCUCAAGAACCAAGCGCAAAUGUUCCUUGUGUUCUCCUUCAUUCUUCGAGUAAAUCAAUAUGUCAUCAAUGAAUACCACAACAAACUUAUCCAAGAACUCCAUGAAUACCUUAUUCAUCAUACUCAUAAAAUAGGCAGGGGCGUUAGUCAAACCAAAAGGCAUGACCGUAUACUCAUAAAGCCCAUAUCUCGUGGUAAAGGCUGUCUUGGGUAUAUCCUGUUCUCGAAUCUUCAGCUGGUGAUAUCCUGAUCGAAGAUCGAUCUUGGAGAAAACUUUUGCUCCUUGUAGCUGGUCAAACAAAUCAUUGAUCAUUGGCAGAGGGUACUUGUUCUUAAUCGUCACCUCGUUUAGCGCACAAUAAUCUACAACCAUUCUCAAGGUUCCAUCCUUCUUGUCAACUAGAAGCACUGGGGCUCCCCAAGGUGAUGGACUUGGUCGAAUAUCACCUUUCUCCAAUAAUUCCUUAAUCUACUUCUUAAUUUCCUCCAGAUCAUUUGCGGGCAUCCGGUACGGUUUAGAGUGGAUGAGAAAUUAGAAUAGAAUAAGGGCCUAAUGAGAGAAAUCACUACCCAUAUGCUUAUGAUAGCAAGAAAAUUUCAAAUCAAGCAAUUCACAUAGAUCACACCACACAAGCAAAACCUACAGGUAAGGUCAUAUCCACAAGAGAUAUGAUCUCUUCAUACUACCACAAAUCAUUAGUUGGACUCAACUUGGUAGUGGUGGUCUGAACUAAAUCUCCUCAAAUCAAUGUCAAAUCUAGCUUCUUCUUUGUCAAUGUUGUCUUCAUAGGUCAUGGUCUCAUCGGACUGAGCAACUUGGUGUUGGGUUCAACUACUAUUUUAUUGAAGUAAAGAAGAUAUAGAAAUGAAUAGAGAAGAGUAUAGACCAACGGGUAUAUAAGGAAGUCAUAAAAUAGAGUUUUCUUCCUAUGGUUUUCCAUUUCCUAGUGGUCGCGUCCUACAGUCAGCGUGUGCUCUGAUACCAUCUUGUAGUGACCCGACCCAAAUGGAUCGAAGUCUUUGUGCUUAAGUGUCAUCCCUGGAUUGGUAUGCUGACACACACAGUACUCGAGGAAUUAUAACAGAGUUCAAUCACACACUUUAUUACAUCGAGAUCCUCAAAAGAGUAUUUAUUACAAUAAUAUGGCCAAAGGCCAUCUAAAAUAAAAUAACUGCGGAAGCAUCGAAGGUAAAUGAGUCCAUCCUACUCCACGGCAAACUGAGUGCAGAACAACGACCUAUCGCACCUUCAAUCCUCGUCGGAAAAGUCUGCAACAUGAGACGUUGCAGCCGUGUAGGUCAGCACAUGGAAUAUGCUGGCAAUUUCACACCAUAGAAUAAUAAUGAAGAAAAAGACUAUCUCUAUAUGCAAAUUUAGGUGGUGGAGGCUCUAAGUUUAAUUUUUGCAUAAAGCCAAUUUUACACUACAACAAAGGAAUAAAUUUUUGUUUACUACUAAAUUAAAAUGCCAUUAUUGAGAAGGUUCCUCCAACUCAAUCCCAAAAUUCCCAAGUUAUUAGUAACCCAAUAAUUUCAUUAAAUAGAGUGAUGAGAUCAACCAAUAAUUCACUUCUAGAUACUCAAGUUGUCCAUAACCGGGGACACGGCUAAUCAUGAUUAGUUUGUACACUCUGUAGAGGUUUGCGCACUUUUCCCCACAAGACUCGACCACCUCCAUGAUCGGAAGAUCAAUACAUAGCCUUUCUGAAGUAUUCCCUCCAAACCCUGGGUAGACCGAUACACCUACUUUCCCCUACAUCAGCUAGUCUACCACGGAAAGAGGUCACACAACUUACUCAACUAUGCCAGAGCCCAUAAUGGCUUGUGGCUGCACACGGAAGUUUCUAGGCAUGAAAUAUCUUAUGAUCCCUUUGAGCCUGGGUGGCGGACCUAGGGUAAUCACACAGGUACUCCGGGAUUCCCCUUGGGCAAGCACUGGUUACUCCAGGUGCCCCAAACAAUCCACCCAGAUGUGUAUUAAAGUUGCCACCUUAGGUUAUCCCAAAAUUAUUAACUCUCACAACUUGCAUGGAUCACACAUACCAAUCCCCGUCUACGAGCAUGGGUAAGCAAUAUAUGAUAUAACGAAAAUUCCAGGGGUGAUCAAAGGUCAUAGGUUCCUACCACAUGAACUACAAGCAUAACCACAUGUUCCCAAUCCUACUCAUGCAAUCUUUGAUGGUUAAACUAAUGCAUAGUAAAAAACAGGGUAUUGAAAAUUAUGAUCAAAGUGUGAACUUGCCUUACUGACGACCGUUCAACUCUAAAUAUUCGUAGUAGCAAGCCUCGCACUCCGGAUGAUCUAACGAAGCAUGUAAUGACACUCAUAAGCAAUCAAGCAAAAAGAAUAAAAAAGAAAACGAAUAAAAGACUUCAGAAAACUCCAAAACAUCCAAAUAAAGUGUCUGUACAGAACGUAAUUUUUACAGCAACAAAAAUAAAUGGUUUUGGUUUUUAACAGAAAGUACAUUCCACAAGCUUCGGUUUGCAAAAAGAAUCACCUAAAACGGAGUUACGAAACUCGAUAUACGGUCUAACGAAGUUUGAAUUCAGAUCUGUUUGAAUAUUAAAAUUUUAAAAUUUUCAAAAAUAUUUUUCGUUUGGUUCUCUGGAUAGAUGGAGUUUCUAUGAACUAGAAGGAAAAAGAAUCAACUAAAUCGGAUCUAUAGACUAAAAGAUAUACAAGAAAGAAGAUUUGGUAAAGAAUCUGAAUUUGGUAAAAUUCCUGAAAAAGAGAAAAAAAUAGGCCAGGGACAAGUGGCGCUCUGUGAUUCGCCGGCUUGGUGCUCACCGGACUUGUCGCCAGAGACGAGGAAGAAGGUGGCUUUGGUGUGCUUUAGCGAAGGACGCGUGCAAAACGAUGUAGAGGACGAUGAGUUUAACCACUUGCACAAGUUGUGGUUGUAGAUUGCUUCCUGUACGCACGGUGAGAGGUUGCUGGAAUUCACAAACUCCGGCGAACAAUUGGCCAGGUUAGGGAGGGGGAAAAACUCCAAAAAGAGAGGGCUUCGGACGAGGGGUGAGAGGCUGGCUCCCAGGGGUGCUUUAUAUAGGGCUUGGGGAGGUCUGGAGAUGAGCUGAGCGUUGCCGACUUUAUGAUGGUAAUGGUGGCUGUUACUUGGGCUUCUAAUGGCCAUUAGAGGGGGAAUUAAGGCGCACCAGUGAAGGAGAAAAGGUAGAGGGAGGCGAGGGGAACCGAUUCAGAGCGGUUUUGGAGCGAGGGAGAGGAGGGGAGGGGUGGGGCGCUAGGGUGGGGUGCUGCCUGCGUGCGUGCGUACAUAUUUUUGUAAUGUUGAGAGGAAGAAGAAGAUAGCGCCUGUGCACGGGCCUGCUGGGCUGCAUUUUUUUAAAUGUUUUUUACAGCAGCAUUAAAGCACCAAAAGACAAAUGAAAAUAAGUCUAAGAAUUCCCAUAAAAUUCACAUAGUAACAUGGUCUUAUAUAUGACCUUGUGAACAUUUAUCCGGCCUAAAAUGCAAAUUUCAAAAAUAAACUCUUUGCUAUGCUAAUAAAAUAAAUUGCAAAUAAAACUCAACAAAUAUAUUUUGGUUCCAAAUUCAAUUUCCAAUAUUUUCUUUUCUGAUUUUGAAGAAGUCAUUUUAUCUUCUCUCUUUAUUUUAUUUUUGAUAUAAAGGAAAUGAAUUUUUUGGUGAAACCAAAUUUGAUCCAAACUGCCAACUUCGGAAAAAAAAUCAAAAUUGGUUUUCUUGGGAAACUUCCAACUCUCUCUUUUGGUCCUUGAGUUGCUCAAAGUUCCUUGGAUCAAAAAUCAAAUAAAACAAAUGGGGCAAAAAUGCAUAAAUCAUGGAUGCAUAUGAAUAAUCUAUUAUAAACAUCCAAAUUGAAAAUUGGGAUGUUACAAACGCAAUGAAUAUAUGUUAUACAACAACAUAUAUUGAUGAAAACAACACCAAACAAUUUACUACAGCAGCAAAAAUGUUGAUAAAAACAACACCAAACAAUGUACUACAACAGCAACUACCGAUACAAACAACACCAAACAAUGUACUACAAUAGCAAAUAUUGAUAAAGACAACACCAAACAAAGAACUACAACAACAAAUAUCGUUUAAAACACCAAAGAAUGUACUAUAGCAUCAUAUACCUCAUGAUAACACUCCUAAGUUUCCAAGAGUCAUCAAUGAAAUGGCCUAUGAUUGCCAUGUAUCCUUUCUUUUGAUUGUCAGCCGUCCAUAAAUCAGUAGUGAUAGCCACUCUUGAUCGAUUUGCAGCCAUGUACUCGAUAGCCUUCUUCCUUCCAACUUUGUAAGCAUCCAGAAUAUCCUCCCUAUGAAUAAAGAGGUGACUGAUAGGUCUCCAUCCUAUCUACUUUUCCAAACAUUUUUGCCCUUGUUUUGGACUCUAACUUAGAUGAUUCGAAUGGAACUAACCCGGACUGACGCUGUUUUCAGCAGAACUGCCAUGGUGUUAUUUUUGUGCAGAAAUAAAAAUUCUCAGAAUGACUUGAAAAUCCAUGGAACAACUUUUUGGAAUUAAUAAAAAAUAUUGGCGAAAGAAUCAACGUCAAGGGGCCCACACCCUGUCCACGAGGGUGGGGGGCGCCCCCCUAGGGCGCGCCCCCUGCCUCGUGGGCCCCCUGAGGCUCCACCGACCUCAACUCCAACUCUAUAUAUUCACGUUCGGGGAGAAAAAAAUUAGGGAGAAGGAUUCAUCGCGUUUUACGAUACGGAGCCGCUACCAAGCCCUAAACUCUCUCGGGAGGGCUGAUCUGGAGUUCGUUCGGGGCUCCGGAGAGGGGAAUCUGUCGCCGUUGUCAUCAUCAACCUUCCUCCAUCACCAAUUUCAUGAUGCUCACCGCCGUGCGUAAGUAAUUCCAUCGUAGGCUUGCUGGACGGUGAUGGGUUGGAUGAGAUUUACCAUGUAAUUAAGUUUGUUUUGUUAGGGUUUGAUCCCUAGUAUCCACUAUGUUCUGAGAUUGAUGCUGCUAUGACUUUUCUAUGCUAAAUGCUUGUCACUAGGGCCCGAGUGCCAUGAUUUCAGAUCUGAACCUAUUAUGUUUUCAAGAAUAUAUGUGAGUUCUUGAUCCUAUCUUGCAAGUCUAUAGUCACCUAUUAUGUGUUAUGAUCCGUUAACCCCGAAGUGACAAUAAUCAGGAUACUUACCGGUGAUGACCGUAGUUUGAGGAGUUCAUGUAUUCACUAAGUGUUAAUGCUUUGGUCCGGUACUCUAUUAAAAGGAGGCCUUAAUAUCCCUUAGUUUCCAAUAGGACCCCGCUGCCACGAGAGGGUAGGACAAAAGAUGUCAUGCAAGUUAUUUUCCAUAAGCACAUAUGACUAUAUUCGGAAUACAUGCCUACAUUACAUUGAUGAACUGGAGCUAGUUGUGUGUCACCUCAGCCUGUGCAAAACCGAACCGAAAACCAAAAAAUGAACCAAAAGAAAACAAACCGAACCGAAUUUCGGUUUUUUCAGGUUUCAGUUUCAGUUUCAGUUUUCAAUUUCGAAAACCAUAUAACCUUCGGUUUUUUCGGUUAAACCGAAUUAAUUCGAAACUCUUCGUUGUGUGUUAAACAACCAAAGCGCUGAGUUGAUCUAGAUCCCUCCCGUCGCCCUUCCUUUUAUAGCCAUCCACCCAUCUCAAUCUUGCUCGCUCCGCGAGGUGGGACUAUUGCGUGGCGCGGCUGGCGCCCAAGUUGGUGGCUAGCGCCUGGCGCUUGGGCCUGGCCGCCUGGGCCCUUGGCUACCCAACGCACGCGCUGGGGCUGGUGGCCUGGUGCUGCGCUUGGACCAGGAGCCUGGAGGCUACAGGCUAGCGUAUUUCAUGGCAUUUUUUCACGUACAAAAACCUGGAAGCUAGCGUAGUGCAUGGGGUGCUCUUUCCCUGUCUUAUCCUCAAAUUUUCCUAGUACGUGCAUACAUCUAUAUCAACGGCUCAGCGCCUCAUCAGUCAUAUGCCUCGAUCUGGUGCACGUCGUACAUACAUGAUACAUAUAUGUCCCACCAAAUCAUGUAUGACAUCUAAUGAUUUAAUUUAUGUACAUUGUUCUCAAAAGAAAAAACUAACCUACAUACACAAAUUGAAUCAUGUUAUAAAAAAAUUAUGCAUUGUUCAAAAAUUCGCGUCAACUUUGGUUAUUUUGGUUAUUACCGAAACCGAACCAAAAUUAAAUGGUUAUUACCGAAACCGAACCGUAUCUAUGUAUAAAACCGUAUAAACCAAAGUAUAAAAACCGUAUAAAUCGAACCGAAUCAAACCGAAAAAACCGAACGCACACCCCGAGUGUCACCCUAUGUUAUAACUAUUGCAUGAGGAAUCGCAUCCGACAUAAUUAUCCAUCACUGAUCCAAUGCCUACAAGCUUUUCCCAUAUUGUUCUUUGCUUAGUUACUUUACCGUUGCCACUGUUACAGUUACUACAAAACUGCUACUGUUACUUUUGCCACUGUUGGCAUUACUUCCAUACUACUUUGCUACUAAAUACUUUGUUGCAGAUGUUAAGUUAUGCAGGUGUGGUCGAAUUGACAACUCAACUGCUAAUACUUGAGAAUAUUCUUUGGCUCCCCUUGUGUCGAAUCAAUAAAUUUGGGUUGAAUACUCUACCCUCGAAAACUGUUGCGAUACCCUAUACUUGUGGGUUAUCAAGACUAUUUUCUGGCGCCGUUACCGGGGAGCAUAGCUCUAUUCUUUGAGUCACUUGGGAUUUAUAUCUGAUGAUCACUAUGAGGAACUUGAAAGACGAAAGAAUCAAGAUUUACCCCUCAACUACGAGGGGAGGUAAGGAACUACCAUCUAGCUCUGCACUAGAUUCUCCUUCUGUUAUGAGUAAGCUUGCAACACCUAAACCUGCUUCUGCUAUUAAUUCUGAUAUGUCGCAUGUUAUUGAUGAUGCCACUUCUGCUAUGCAUGAUACUUAUGAUGAAACUACUUCCAUGCUUGAUAAUAUGGUGCCAUUACGUGAAUUUCUUGAUGAAUAACUUGCCAGGGCUAGAGAGAAUGAAAUUAUUGAUUAAAGUGAUGAUGAAGAUUCUCCCCCUAAAUAUGAAUUGCUUGUUGUGCCUGAGGGUUAUGUUAUGGAUGAAGAAACUGCUAGAGAUUUUCUUGCUUGCAAUGAUAGAUUUGAUCUUAAGAAGUUACUAGCUAAGCUUAAAGAAAAGUCUCUGAAUGCUAGAAUGAAAUAUGACCCUGCUUUUUCUACUUCACCUAUCUAUGUUACUGAUAAGUAUUAUGAUUUCUCUGUCGAUCCUGAGAUAAUUAAUUUGGUUGAAACUGAUCCUUUUUAUGGCUAUGAAUCUGAAACUAUUGUGGCACAUCUUACUAAGUUAAAUGAUACAACCACCCUAUUCACUAAAGAUGAGAAAAAUCAUUACUACUAUAUCCUUAGCUAUUUUCGUUCUCAUUAAAGGGUGAUGCUAAAACAUGGUUUAACUCUCUUGAUCCUGGUUGUGUGCAUAGUCCCUAGGAUAUGAUUUAUUACUUCUCUACUAAAUAUUUUCCUGCUCAUAAGAAACAAGCUGCUUUAAGGGAAAUAUAUAAUUUUGUGCAAAUUCAAGAAGAGAGUCUCCCACAAGCUUGGGGGAGGCUUCUCCAAUUGCUUAAUGCUUUGCCUGAUCAUCCUCUUAAGAAAAAUGAAAUACUUGAUAUCUUUUAUAAUGGAUUAACUGAUGCUUCCGGAGCCCACCUAGAUAGUUGUGCUGGUUGUGUUUUCAGGGAAAGAACAGUCGAUCAAGAUGAAUUGCUAUUGAAUAAUAUGUUGGCUAAUGAAAAUAAUUAGAAAUUUCCUGAACCAACUCCUAAGACAACUCCAAAUAAAAGAGGUGUUCUAUUUCUCAGUUUUGAAGAUAUGUAAGAGGCAAAGAAAUCUAUGAAAGAAAAAGGUAUUAAAGCUGAAGAUGUUAAGAAUUUACCACCUGUUGAAGAAAUACAUGGCAUUAAUAUACCAUCUAUUGAAGAAAUACAUGGUCUUGAUAACCCGACACAGGUAGUAAAGGUAAAUUCUCUCUAUAGAUAUGAUAAAGUUGAAAUCCCGUCUACUAUGUUUUCUAGCCAAUGCUUGGAUGAGUUUGAUGACUUUAUGGCUAAACAAGAAAACUUCAGUGCUUAUGUUGGUAGAUAAUUGAAAAGUUAUGCUUAUAUGAUUGGACACUUGAGUGAUUAUAUGUCUAGAGUUAAGAAUGAACUUAAAGUUAUUAGUAAACAUGCUUCUAUGGUUACCACUCAAGUAGAACAAGUUCUUAAAGCUCAAAAUGAUUUGCAAUGAAUUAAAUGAUAAGAAAAAUGAUAAUGCUAUUAGAGUUAUAACUAGAACGGGUAAAAUGACUCAGGAACCUUUGUAUCCUGAGGGCCACCCUAAGAGAAUUGAGCAAGAUUCUCAGAGAAAUAAUGUAGAUGCACCUAGUCCUUCUAAAAAGAAAAAGAAAAAUGAUAGGACUUUGCAUGCUUCUAGUGAACCUGUUGUUGACACACCUGAGAAUCCCAAUGAUAUUUCUAUUUCUGAUGCUGAAACACAAUCUGGUGAUGAACAUGAACCUAGUGAUAAUGUUAAUGAUGAUGUUCAUGUUGAUGCUCAACCUAGCAAUAAUAAUGAUCUAGAGGUUGAACCGGCUGUUGAUCUUGAUAACCCACAAUCAAAGAAUCAACGUUAUGAUAAGAGAGACUUCGUUGCUAGGAAGCACGGUAAAGAAAGAGAACCAUGGGUGCAGAAAACCAUGCCUUUUCCUCCUAAACCAUCCAAGAAAAAGGAUGAUGAGGAUUUUGAGCGCUUUGCUGAAAUGAUUAGACCUAUCUUUUGCGUAUGCAUUUGACUGAUAUGCUUAAAGUAAAUCCUUAUGCUAAGUACAUGAAAGAUAUUGUUACAAAUAAGAGAAAGAUAACGGAAGCUGAAAGUUCCACCAUGCUUGCUAAUUAUACUUUUAAGGGUGGAAUACCGAAGAAACUAGGAGAUCCAGGAGUACCAACUAUACCAUGCUUUAUGUGAUCUUGGAGCCGGUGUUAGUGUUAUGCCUCUCUCUUUAUAUCAUAGACUUGAUUUGAAUAAGUUGACACCUACUGAAAUAUCUUUGCAAAUGGCCAAUAAAUCAACUACUAUACCUGUCGGUAUUUGUGAGGAUGUGCCUGUUGUGGUUGCAAACGUUACUAUCUUAAUGGACUUUGUUAUUCUUGAUAUUCCUGAGGACGAUAGUAUGUCGAUUAUCCUUGGUAGACCCUUUUUGAAUACUGCAGGGGCUGUUAUUGAUUGCAACAAAGGCAAUGUCACUUUUCAUGUUAAUGGCAAUGAGCAUACGGUACACUUUCCAAGGAAACAACCUCAAGUUCAUAGUAUCAAUUCUAUUGGAAAAAUUCCAACGAUUAUUAUUGGAGGUUUUGAAUUUCGUCUUCCUACUGUCAAGAAGAAAUAUGAUAUUCUUAUUAUUGGGGAUGUACAUAUUCCCGUUGAGGUAACCUAUAUUUUAUUCGAAAUUUCUCCGGUUUCAUGCGAUUCGGAAUGAGUUUGUUAACAAGACUUGAUCAACCUUGUUAGUGGAUUCAUUUUGACGAGCAUGAGAUGGGUGAAGUUAGAAAGCACAACCUUCUAUAUUCUCCUUGUACUUUUAUUAUUUAGAUUAAAUAAAGCAAAAUACUGUUUUCUGAUUUAUCCUUGCAAUAAAAAAUACCCCGAAAUUAAAAGUUCUCCAAAUGCCCUGAAAAUGAAAUAUGAUUUUUUCUAGAAUAUUUGAGAAUAUCUGGCACUGAGAACACACCAGAGGGGGCAACCACCUGGCCACGAGGGUCCAGGGCGCGCCCACCCCCCUAGGGCGCGCCCCCUGCCUCGUGGGCCCAUGAUGGCCCCCCUCCACUUAUUUCUGCACCCAUACACUUCUUCUUCCUCCCAAAAAAAUCACCAUCCAGCUCAAGCACGAGUUCUAGCUCAUCUUGCGGCCAUUUUCGAUCUCCUUGCUCGAAGCUCCAUUCACAAAACUGCUUUGGGGGAUUAUUCUUUGGUAUGUGACUCCUCCAAUGGUCCAAUUAGUUUUUGUUCUAGUGCUUUAUUCAUUGCAAAUUUUUGCUGCUAAGGUGACCCUGUUCUUGAGCUUGCAUGCCAAAUUUAUAUGGUCCCAAGUAGUUCCAAUGCUUGAUAUAGUCUCUAAGCACUUGUGGGAGUAGUUGCUAUCAAUUUUGUUGAGUUUGGUACAUUUUUAUUUUGAGUUACUAAAAAUUUCAGAAAUUUUCAGAAAAUGAUGAAGAGAUUUUUGAGGGGCUCUUCGAGCCAAAGCUCGAAGGAUAAACAAAGUAAGGAGAAUAAGAAGCCGAAAUAUAAUCUCCCUCGCGUUGCGGAAGUUCGAUCGUGUGAAUGGACUUGUGAUGAGUUCUUGAGAGCAGCCGGGAUUCAUGAUGAUUUUUAUUCUUUGGCUGAGAAUGCAGGCCUCACCGACUUCCUCCACCACCAGCUCGAACAGUAUCUCUUACUCACUAAUACUUUCGUGCAAAAAUUUUACUUUCAUACUAAGAAAACACCACCUUCAGUGGAGUUUCAUUUAUACGAUGAGGUUAGGGAGAUGUCACUAUGUGAUUUUUGUGCGGUUUGCAAGAUACCCUUCGAGGGUAGCAUAGAGGAACCACAUCGUAGAGAUGUGGAUGGAUUUAUUGAUAUGAUUACUAUAGGGGAAACAAGGAACGUUUCCGAUCUAAGAAUUACUAGAAUACACUUUCCCGUUCUAUGUUACUUUGCAAUAUUUGCUAGUAGAUGCUUAAUUGGUCGCGGGAACUGAGGAAACCUUUGUGUUCCUGAUAUUGUUAUUUUGUGCCAUGCCUUUUUUCGUGAUGACACUGUUAGUUUAGGCGCUAUUGUUGCUAAAUGAUUAAGUCUGAACCAUACAAAGGGCCCCAUCUUUGGAGGCAUUUAUGUUCACGCCUUGCUAAACACUUUAGGAUACCUAUUAGGCAUUAUGAGAAGGAGGAAAAGUUGCUGCCCCCUACUUUUUUAGAUUAUAAAAGUAUGCUAGCACAUGAUUUUAUUGUUAAAAAUGAUGAGAAGAUGCUUAAGUAUAAUUUGAGAUUUCAUAAAACUCACAGUGAGACUAUUAUCUUGCCUGCACCCUCUUUGUUUGAUUUAUCUUCAGGCAUGUACCUCGUCUUGUCGGAGGCUGUUUACGCAUACUCGAGAUAGACACCAGCUCCAGAGCCUGAGUCAGGACCACCAGUUGACCCUUAUCGACCGUCCUUUUAUCAGUGGGAUCCGGAGGAGAUCGCCAGCUUGUGGCACUCAGAUGACACUCCUGAGUACAUCGGAGAGAGUAGCGAUGAUCCAUGGGCAUAGACCAACUUAGGCCAAAAGCCUAAGCUUGGGGGAGUACGUAUUUCUCACUGACAUUACAUUCAUGUUCACACACUCAUCUUAGUUGUCGGUGCUCAUACUUUUUCUUUGUACUAUCCAUGCUAGUUUAUUUAUUUUUCUUGCUUUCUUCUUGUGUGUUUGAAAAACCUUAAGAAAAACCAAAAAAAUUAGUUGUAGCAUUUAGCUAGUUUACUUUCCAUGCUUCUAGUAGUAGUAAUUAAAAGAAAACUCAAAAAGAUUUCUCGUUCUUCUUUUUCUUGUUGGGAGCUUUCCCGUGUAAAUAGUUUUAUUUCUUUUCUUUUGUUUGGGGGUCGAGAGGAGAAGACCAUGAUGAAAAUGUUGAGUGGCUCUCAUAUGCAUUAUUGUUGAUUUAAUCAAGAGCCCAUAUUACCUUGUCUUCUCCCUUUAAUUGAAUGCUUGCAGAUUCAAGUUUAGUCCAAUGCAUGUGCACUAUUAUUAUUAUCCACACCGUUCAGUCGUGCGAGUGAAAGGCAAUAAUGACGAUAUAUGAUGAAAUGUUUGAGAUGAGAGAAGCUGGUACGAACUCGACCUCUCUUGUUUUUGUAAAUAUGAUUAGUUCAUCAUUCCUGAUUCAGCCUAUUAUGAAUAAACUUGUUUGCAAUGACAAUUAGAGAUUAUAGUUGCUUAUGCCAUGCUUAAUUAGCUAGGAGUUUAUAAUGGUUUACCUUGCGUGCCAACAUGCUAUUAAAAUGGUUGUGAUGUGGUAUGAUAGGAUGGUAUCCUCCUUUGAAUGAUUUGAGUGACUUGACUUGGCACAUGUUCACGCAUGUAGUUGAAACAAAAUCAACAUAGCCUUCACGAUAUUUAUGUUCAUGGUGGAUUAUAUCCUACUCAUGCUUGCACUUGAUUAAUUUUAAUGCAUGUUCAUGACUGUUGUCGCUCUCUAGUUGGUCGCUUCCCAAUCUCUUUCUAGCCUUCACUUGUACUAAGCGGGAAUACUGCUUGUGCAUCCAAAAUCCAUAAACCCCAAAGUCAUUCCAUAUGAGUCCACCAUACCUUCCUAUAUGAGGUAUCUACCUACCGUUCCAAGUAAAUUUGUAUGUGCCAAAAUCCAAACCUUCAAUUGAAAUUCUGUUUUGUAUGCUCGAACAGCUCAUGUAUCAACUAGGGCUGUCUAUAUCUUCCAUGCUAGGUGGGCUAUUCUCACGAGGAGUGGACUCCGCUCCUCACUCAUGAGAAAAUGGCCGGUAAUCGGGAUGCCCAGUACCAUGCUCAAAUCAAAAUAAUUGCAAACAAAACUCCCCCAGGAUUGUUGUUAGUUGGAGGCAUCCGUUGUUUCGGGCAAGCCAUGGAUUGAUGAUUGUUGGUGGCGAGGGAGUAUAAACUUUACCAUUCUAUUUGGGAACCGCCUAUAAUGUGUAUAGCAUGGAAGAUAUCGAGAUCUCUCAGUUGUUAUGUUGACAAUGAAAGUAUACCGCUCAAAAUGUUAUUUAUCUCUAUUUCAAAAUCGAACUCUGGCACCUCUACAAAUCCCUGCUUCCCUCUGCGAAGGUCCUAUCUAUUUACUUUUAUAUUGAGUCAUCCUCCUCUUAUUAAAAAGCACCCACUGGAGAGCAUCGCUGUUAUUUGCAUACAUUACUAUUAAUUUAUAUUGAGUAUGACUAUGACUGGAUCUCUUUUACCAUGAAUUACGAUGUUUAGUCAGUCCUUGAUCUUUAGAGGUGCUCUGCAUUUAUGUUUUGCUGUCUCGGAAAGGGCUAGCGAGAUACCAUCUUGUUAUAUCAUAUUAUGAUUAUUUUGUGAAAGUGUUGUCAUCUGAGAUUUAUUAUUAUUGCUCGCUAGUUGAUUAUGCCAUUGAUAUGAGUAAAUAUGAGACCUAAGUGCUAUUGUGAAUAUGGUUAGUUCAUAAUCUUUGCUGAAAACUUGAAUGAUCGCUUUACAUAUUUGCCACAACAAAAGAAAAUAGAGAUUGUAAAAGUUCUUCUUUAUCACCUUCACUUUAUCAACUAAAUUGCUUGAGGACAAGCAAAGGUUUAAGCUUGGGGGAGUUGAUACGUCUCCAUCGUAUCUACUUUUCCAAACACUUUUGCCCUUGUUUUGGACUCCAACUUGCAUGAUUUGAAUGGAACCAACCCGGACUGACGUUGUUUUCAGCAGAAUUGCCAUGGUCUUAUUUUUGUGCAGAAAUAAAAGUUCUCGGAAUGACCUGAAAAUCCACGGAGCAACUUUUUGGAAUUAAUAAAAAAUAUUGGGGAAAGAAUCAACGUCAGGGGGCCCACACCCUGUCCAUGAGGGUGGGGGCGCGCCCCCUAGGGCACGCCCCCUGCCUCAUGGGCCCCCCGAGGCUCCACCGACCUCAACUCCAACUCUAUAUAUUUCGAGGAGAAAAAAAAUCAGAGAGAAGGAUUCAUCACGUUUUACAAUAGGGAGUCACCGCCAAGCCCUAAACUCUCUCGGGAGGGCUGAUCUGGAGUCUGUUCGGGGAUCCGGAGAGGGAAUCCAUCGCCGUCGUCAUCAUCAACCUUCCUCCAUCACCAAUUUCAUAAUGCUCACCGCCGUGCGUGAGUAAUUCCAUCGUAGCCCUGCUGGACGGUGAUGGGUUGGAUGAGAUUUACCAUGUAAUUAAGUUAGUUUUGUUAGGGUUUGAUCCCUAGUAUCCAUAUUGUUCGGAGAUUGGUGUUGCUAUGACUUUGCUAUGCUUAAUGCUUGUCACUAGGGCCCGAGUGCCAUGAUUUCAGAUCUGAACCUAUUAUGUUUUCAUGAAUAUAUGUGAGUUCUUGAUCCUAUCUUGCAAGUCUAUAGUCACCUAUUAUGUGUUAUGAUCCGUUAACCCCGAAGUGACAAUAAUCGGGAUACUUACCGGUGAUGACUGUAGUUUGAGGAGUUCAUGUAAUUCACUAAGUGUUAAUGCUUUGGUCCGGUACUCUUUUAAAAGGAAGCCUUAAUAUCCCUUAGUUUCCAAUAGGACCCCGCUGCCACGGGUGGGUAGGACAAAAGAUGUCAUGCAAGUUCUUUUCCAUAAGCAUGUAUGACUAUAUUCGGAAUACAUGCCUACAUUACAUUGAUGAACUGGAGCUAGUUCUAUGUCACCCUAUGUUAUAACUAUUGCAUGAGGAAUCACAUCCGACAUAAUUAUCCAUCACUGAUCCAAUGCCUACGAGCUUUUCCCACAUUGUUCUUUGCUUAGUUACUUUACCGUUGCCACUGUUACAAUUACUACAAAACUGCUACUAUUACUUUUGCCACUGUUACCGUUACUUCCAUACUACUUUGCUACUAAAUACUUUGCUGCAGAUUAUAAGUUAUCCAGGUGCGGUUGAAUUGACAACUCAACUGCUAAUACUUGAGAAUAUUCUUUGGCUCCCCUUGUGUCGAAUCAAUAAAUCUAGGUUGAAUACUCUACCCUUGAAAACUGUUGUGAUCCCCUAUACUUGUGGGUUAUCAGUGACAAUCAGACAUUUAAGAUAUUAAACAAAACAUAGCAUAUUAGUAGAACAAUUCAUAGUUGUAUAAGACAUAACUAAUAGUGUUUCUUGUCACCAUAGUAAACAAGGGUUGCAAUGCACUAACAAAUCUUUGAACCCCCGUAUGAUCAACUAUGGAUAAGGGGUACUCAUGCAACACAAUCAUGGAAGCAAGCAUCUUUCUAGAAAAAACUUGGUUAAAAGUAUAGUUCUCCACCAAAACUUUUCCUUGGCUACUAGAACUGAACCUCAAAGAAGAUUGGCUCAAUGUUUUACCAUUGCAUGGACCUUCUUCAUAGUACAAGACGUCAAAUGAACAUGAAGAUGCUUUGUCCCAUUCUUUGAUUCCCCUCCAAGUUUAUUACAAUGAAGACAUUGUGCCUUCCAUCUCCCACGGACACUCACUUUCUUGAAAUCAACCCAAACAACUGAUGUGAGCUUUCUCUUGGAACCAACUGCAUGUCCUUCCUCAGCCACAUCUUCCUCUUCAUCCUCAUCCCUGUCUUCCUCUCCAUCCUCAUCCUCAUCCUCAUCUUCCUCUUCAUCUCCUUCAUCCGUAGCUUCCUAUUCACCCGUAAUAUCAACAUGUUCUCCAACAAACAUCGCAUCAUAAUCGACGGAUUCAUCAAAUUCUUCGUCCACAUCCUUAGAUUCAGGCACACUACGUGUAACUGAAUGUAUAAUUGCUGUUUCUAUUGACGGUGUCGUCAAUGAAUCAAUUAACCUAUCAAAAAGAAUAAAAACAAAAUUAUUAGCUUCGGUGUACAUAGUGGCAGUAGCAAUUUGGACUCUACUAUAUGUAUUGCUUGGAAGUCAACUGAAAACAGUAGCAAUUUGUACAUGUAGCCUCCAGUAUGAUGACCAGAAAAAACACCAUGCAUAUUGUUUGUACAACGGUUCUAAAUCUAUUUUUUUUCAUUCCUGCAGAAGUGUAAUAGCUUCAAACUUUCAUGAAAAAGAAUAUAUUCUACAGUCUAAACCAAACCCUAGCAAAUCUAAUCCAUGAAUUCACAGAAAAUUAACAUCAUCCAUCACAAACCCUAGCACCAUCCAUCUCAGAUUGUGAGAGAUUGGGGUUACUCACCUUGUUUUUAACUUCUUGCGGACAUUGAAGUUGGAUGGAGGCUCGGGAAUCGGAUUUGAAAGCCCUCUGCCUCCUCUUCCACGAAGGCCACGACCUGCUGCCUUUCCACCACCGCCGCGCGUAGUUGUAGUAGAGAGAGGAAGGCGGCGAGU